rnacentral:lncRNA from 1 species
CACCAGGUUACAAACUUAACCAGAAGGGCUGACAAGAGGUGAGGUUAGUAUAGCUAGGAUUCUCUCAGUUGAAACUAGGUUUACUUUGUCCUAUCAUUCCUGAAUUUAUGCAAAUCCAAACUGAGAAAACACUUUCAAGUAAUCAGCUUUUAGAAGAUAGAAUUUUUAAUCUCUACAGAAAAGAUCUCACAGAAGACUCUAGAACAUAUUUGGGUGGUGGGCCCAGGGAUUCAGAUCUGGCAAAUAUUCCCUUGACUGUCAUUCCAGGGAAGGAGACUUGAGAUCAGAGGAAGCUAGAGGAUUUUACUACAUAAUGAAUUGCAUUUAAGAUUGAUGGAGAGUUUUAUGGGUGGCAACAUAUACAUCUGGACCGCAGGAGUCUGGCUUCCUAAGUAAUAGAGACAGGAAGAGAACAUUUCACG